UUGGUGUAUAGUACUGGCGUUAGAAAAUCAUUGCUUUCUGGUUGUGAUUUGUUUUAAAAGUCUUAUUGAGCGAUCGCGAAUCAUGCCCAGUGUAUGUGCAAUGUACAAUUGGGCUAAUAGAAGUGAUAAAACAACUGGAAUAUCAUAUUUCAGAUUUCCUCUGAAAAAGAAAGAGCUGUUAAGUCGGUGGGUAGCCAAUAUGAGGCGAGAUAAGUGGCAGCCAACUCAAUAUAGCUACAUAUGCUCACUUCACUUUGAAGAUAGAUACAUGUAUAGUACAAAUGAGAAAACUGGCAAACGCAGUACCGAUAAUAUUUACGUUUCCUGACCAUCUGCAGAAAACAACCAUAGUAUAGAGACAACCAAGGAAACGGCCUGUCAGUGAAGAAUCAGCUUCCUUAUCAAAAGAACCAGGUGAAAGAGUGAAUCAGAAUGAUCAUCCAGAUCAUUCUUAUUGUUUGCCUAGCCCCAAAAAAUUGAAACAGAAUUAUGAGGCACUACAGAAAAGAACCGAGAAACUGAGGAAGCAAGCGAAACAUGCAAGGCAAAGUGUUUCAAGAAAGAAGAAACAAAUUGUGACAUAUAAAACAGUGGUUGUAAGUCUAAAUAAGAGACUUCAAAACUGUGUUUCUGAAGUGAUAGGAUGUGGCAAAAAUAGUGAUAUUCUGAAGCAACUUUUUGCAAUGUAAAACAAAUGUUCACUUCCUGAAUAUCCUAAAGAAAUAAGACAGUUUGCCCUUACACUCAAUUUUUACUCCUCCAAAGCUUAUAAUUAUUUGAGGAAGUUUGUUAAAUUACCCCAUCCUCGAACACUCCACAGGUGGGCAACUACAGUAAAUGGCACCCCUAGAUUUAUAGAAGAAAGCUUAAAAAAAUUAGUAGAUGAGGUUCAACGUAGUUCAGGACCUAUUUUAGCCGCACUUAUGUUCGAUGAGGUGGCUCUUAAAAAAGACAUAAUAUGGGAUGGUAAUAAGGUCUGGGGUUAUGUUGACUUAGGGCAAGGAUGUGAGGAAAAGUGAUGAUAGCCAAAUAGCAAAAGAGGCACUA